rnacentral:tRNA from 1 species
GCCAGUGUGGCGUAGUGGUUUGAGUGCUGAACUAUGACUCUGGAGACCAGGGUUCAUUUCCCAGCUCAGUCA